GACGAACGCUGGCGGCGUGCCUAAUACAUGCAAGUCGAGCGAAUGGAUUAAGAGCUUGCUCUUAUGAAGUUAGCGGCGGACGGGUGAGUAACACGUGGGUAACCUGCCCAUAAGACUGGGAUAACUCCGGGAAACCGGGGCUAAUACCGGAUAACAUUUUGAACCGCAUGGUUCGAAAUUGAAAGGCGGCUUCGGCUGUCACUUAUGGAUGGACCCGCGUCGCAUUAGCUGGUUGGGUAGGUAACGGCUCACCAAGGCAACGAUGCGUAGCCGGACUGAGAGGGUGAUCGGCAACACUGGGACUGGGCCACGGCCGAGACUCCUACGGGAAGCAGCAGUAGGGAAUCUUCGGCAAUGGACGAAAGUCUGACGGAGCAACGCCGCGUGAGUGAUGAAGGCUUUCGGGUCGUAAAACUCUGUUGUUAGGGAAGAACAAGUGCUAGUUGAAUAAGCUGGCACCUUGACGGUACCUAACCAGAAAGCCACGGCUAACUACGUGCCAGCAGCCGCGGUAA
rnacentral:rRNA from 1 species